rnacentral:piRNA from 1 species
UGGGUCCGGCCCCUCCUUAAGCUAGUCACCC